AUUGAACGCUGGCGGCAGGCUUAACACAUACAAGUCGAGCGGUAACAGAGAGAAGCUUGCUUCUCUGCUGACGAGCGGCGGACGGGUGAGUAAUGCCUAGGAAUCUGCCUAGUAGUGGGGGAUAACUUGCCGAAAGGUAAGCUAAUACCGCAUACGUCCUACGGGAGAAAGGAGGGGACCUUCGGGCCUUUCGCUAUUAGAUGAGCCUAGGUCGGAUUAGUUAGUUGGUGAGGUAAUGGCUCACCAAGACCGCGAUCCGUAACUGGUCUGAGAGGAUGAUCAGUCACACUGGAACUGAGACACGGUCCAGACUCCUACGGGAGGCAGCAGUGGGGAAUAUUGGACAAUGGGGGGAACCCUGAUCCAGCCAUGCCGCGUGUGUGAAGAAGGUCUUAGGAUUGUAAAGCACUUUAAGUUGGGAGGAAGAGCAGUUAACUAAUAUUUGACUGUUUUGACGUUACCGACAGAAUAAGCACCGGCCAACUUCGUG
rnacentral:rRNA from 1 species